CACGGAGGGUGCGAGCGUUGUCCGGAAUCACUGGGCGUAAAGGGUGCGCAGGCGGCCGGGUGUGUCAGAUGUGAAAUCCCGAGGCUCAACCUCGGAACUGCGUCUGAAACUACUCGGCUAGAGUACUGGAGAGGGUAACGGAAUUCACGGUGUAGCAGUGAAAUGCGUAGAUAUCGUGAGGAACACCAGAGGCGAAGGCGGUUACCUGGACAGUUACUGACGCUCAGGCACGAAAGCAUGGGGAGCAAAAGGG
rnacentral:rRNA from 1 species